UUCGGAAAGAAUUGCCCGAGGUUGUUGACGAAUGGGUGGAAUAAGGUGUGGGAACCUUCCUUUUAGAGGGGAAUAAUCAUGGGAAACGAUGACUAAUAUUGCUUAAUAUACAAAGACCGCAUGGUUUUAGUAAGAAAGGCGGCCUUAGAGCUGUUGCUAAAAGAUGGACCCGGGUGUGAUUAGCUAGUUGGUAAGGUAACGGCUUACCAAGGCAACGAUCAGUAGCCGGCCUGAGAGGGUGAACGGCCACAUUGGGACUGAGACACGGCCCAAACUCCUACGGGAGGCAGCAGUGGGGGAAUCUUCCGCAAUGGGCGAAAGCCUGACGGAGCAAUGCCGCGUGAGUGAAGAAGGCCUUCGGGAUGUAAAGCUCUAUCGUAAUCGAAGAGAGCUUGUGAUAGUAACUGAUCAUGAGAGGACGGUAGAUUACAAGGAAGCCCCGGCUAACUAUGUGCCAGCAGCCGCGGUAAAACAUAGGGGGCAAGCGUUGUCCGGAAUCACUGGGCGUAAAGGGCGCGUAGGUGGUUUGUUAAGUCAGAUGUGAAAUGUAGGGGCUCAACCCCUAACGUGCAUCUGAUACUGGCAGACUUGAGUGCGGAAGAGGCAAGUGGAAUUCCUGGUGUAGCGGUGAAAUGCGCAGAUAUCAGGAGGAACACCGGUGGCGAAGGCGGGUCUCUGGGCAGUAACUGACGCUGAGGAGCGAAAGCAUGGGUAGCGAACAGGAUUAGAUACCCUGGUAGUCCAUGCCGUAAACGGUGGGCGCUAGAAGUAGGGGUCUUCCACGACUUCUGUGCCGUAGCUAACGCA
rnacentral:rRNA from 1 species